ACUAUGGUGGCAGAAUCUGGUUAUUGCUAAAGAUCUAAACUCUUUCCACAGGGGUUCAAUUCCCCUCUAUAGUA
rnacentral:tRNA from 1 species